rnacentral:rRNA from 1 species
GACGAACCGUGCGAACGUUGUUCGGAUUCACUGGGCUUAAAGGGCGCGUAGGCGGACGGUCAAGUCGGGGGUGAAAUCUUUCAGCUUAACUGGAAAAGUGCCUCCGAUACUGAUCGUCUCGAGGGAGGUAGGGGCAUGUGGAACUUCCGGUGGAGCGGUGAAAUGCGUAGAUAUCGUCUGGAACGCCGAAGGUGAAAACAGCUCGCUGGGGCUGCGCUGACGCUGAGACACGAAAGCCAGGGGAGCGAACGGG